rnacentral:rRNA from 1 species
UACGAAGGGGGCUAGCGUUGCUCGGAAUUACUGGGCGUAAAGGGCGCGUAGGCGGAUAUUUAAGUUGGGGGUGAAAUCCCGGGGCUCAACCUCGGAAUUGCCUUCAAAACUGGAUAUCUUGAGUUCGGGAGAGGUGAGUGGAACUCCGAGUGUAGAGGUGAAAUUCGUAGAUAUUCGGAAGAACACCAGUGGCGAAGGCGACUGACUGGACAAGUAUUGACGCUGAGGUGCGAAAGCGUGGGGAGCAAACAGG